ACUCCUACGGGAGGCAGCAGUGGGGAAUAUUGCACAAUGGGGAAGCCCAUCGAUGCAGCCAUGCCGCGCUGUGUGAAGAAGGCCAUUCGGGCUUGGUAAAGACACUUUUCAGUCGUGAGGAAGGUAGUGUAGUUAAUAGCUGCAUUAUUUGACGUUAGCGACAGAAGAAGCACCGGCUAACUCCGUGCCAGCAGCCGCGGUAAUACGGAGGGUGCGAGCGUUAAUCGGAAUUACUGGGCGUAAAGCGCAUGCAGGUGGUUUGUUAAGUCAGAUGUGAAAGCCC
rnacentral:rRNA from 1 species